rnacentral:tRNA from 1 species
GGGGAUAUAGCUCAGUUGGUAUGAGUGUUUGCCUCACAAGGCCCUGGGUUCAAUCCCCAGCACCACCA